CAGGCGCGCACACGAUACACAUCAGUGCGAGCUAGCAUUCACUCCGUGGACCUACCUUUUCCGUUUUGUUUGGGCUUGACUCUGGCAUCGGGAGACAGACAUACAUAUUCUCCUUAUCACACACCAACUGUGCCUUUGAUCCUUCUCAGCAGGGGUGCCCAGGUGACAGCCAAGAUGCACAUCGCAUCGCCCAGACAGGCUCCAGGAUGCACAUCGCCCAGCCAGAGACGCACACAGACACAGAGCGAUUUCUCAUGCCACUCACCCUGUUAAUGGCCAGACAGUGAUUUUCUCUCCUCUCUUUUCCUCUCCUCUGUUUGUUUGGCUCUGACAGAGACAGACACUGAGUGCAUCCCAGAUGGCACCCUAUUCCCUAUAUAGAAGUGCACUACUUCUGACCAGAGCCUCAUGGGGGGUAGUAGUGCACUAUAAAGGUAGUAGUGCACUCUAAAGGGAAUAGGGUGCCAUUUGGGAGUAAACACUAUCUUUAUCACCUCUUUGAUUCCUGCUCGCUGAAAAUAUCAAAGCAGACAGAUAUUUCUUUCCCUCUUACUUUUUAAAAAGCUGACACCAAGUUCUGCUUAAAACAACCUGACGUUUUCUCCCCCGCAAAUGUCGGGAUAUUGAUGCUAUACCGUAGAAGUGAUUCAGUUUUCCAUCAGAAAAUUGUAUCAUAAUGUCAAGUAAUUCAAAAAGCCACGGUCGUGUAGUGUUUUAUUCACUGAUGUGACGCAAGUGUGUUGGUACACACACACAAACUACUGAUGUUUUACUGAAGAGUUUCUAUUGAACAAAUAUGUAAUGUAGGUUACUUUGUCCUUAGUCCUCCUCCCUUGGCAAGGUCAGGACGAUGAUGAUGGUGAUUGAUGAGGCUGAUGAUGGUGAUUGAUGAGGCUGAUGAUGGUAACGAUUGAUGUUGACCGCACCUGACAAAAUUCUGAAGCUUGUAGUCAAAAAGUUUGGGCUCGAGCCAAAACUACCGUGUUAGUCGGACAGAGAUUUCUUCAUACAUUCAUCCCAUGAGAACUUGUCAUCUGGGCCGUUACGGUGCAUUCCUAAAGUAUUCAGACCAUUAUGUUACGUUACAACCUUAUUCUAAAAUGGAUUCAAUUGUUUGCUACACACAAUACCCCAUAAUGUCAAAGCAAAAACUGUUUUUAGAAAUGUUUGCAAAUGUAUUUAAAAUAAUAAAUGGAAAUAUUUACAAUA